rnacentral:lncRNA from 1 species
AGCAUUCCAAAAUUUAUUGGCAUAAGUGGGACAAGAAGUCACAGGAAGCAUUAUUCAGCGAGACUUGGGUCGGUACAGCUUGAAACUUCCAACGUGCCUAUAAUUUAACAACAGUAUCUUUUGCUUCUCUUAAAUCUAUCUGCUUCUGCUUCUGCCUCUGCCUCUUCUGAUUAUCCUUUUUUUUCUCGUUUUUGUUUUUGUUCCUUUUCUUGUUGCCAACCCAUUUCCACUCUGUAAAAGUAUAGCAGAAAUCUAUCGGUAUGGUUGAAUGAUCUUAUGUUGAUACCCACAAAAAAAACAAAAAAAAAAACAAUAUGAUCUUAUGUUGAUACCCACAAAAAAAACUUGAAUGAUCUUAUGUUGAUACCCACAAAAAAAACAAAAAAAAAAACAAUAAUUAUGUUUUCUGGAAGCAUUUUUAAUGUUUCAUGAUUGAUCCCAGUAUGGAGAUACGAGCUUUGCAAAAUAAUAGCCAUGUGAGUUUCAGGUGUGCAGGGAAUGGGAAGCCAAAACCUUUUCAACAAUCAUUCUUUCUUCUGUUUUGAUCUUUUCUCAGUCUUUUUCCCAUUAUAAAGCUCUUUCUUUUACAUUAUCUUCUCG